rnacentral:rRNA from 1 species
GACGGAGGAUGCAAGCGUUAUCCGGAAUUAUUGGGCGUAAAGCGUCCGCAGGUGGCUGUUCAAGUCUGCUGUCAAAGCGCAGAGCUUAACUCUGUACAGGCGGUGGAAACUGAAGAGCUAGAGUAUGGUAGGGGUAGAGGGAAUUCCCGGUGUAGCGGUGAAAUGCGCAGAUAUCGGGAGGAACACCAGUAGCGAAGGCGGCACUCUGGGCCGGUACUGACGCUGAGGAGCGAAAGCGUGGGUAGCAAACAGG